rnacentral:rRNA from 1 species
AUAUCAAUAAGCGGAGGAAAAGAAACUAACAAGGAUUCCCCUAGUAACGGCGAGCGAAGCGGGAAGAGCUCAAAUUUGAAAUCUGGUGGCCUCAGGUCAUCCGAGUUGUAAUCUAUAGAAGUGUUUUCCGUGCUGGCCCAUGUACAAGUCCCUUGGAACAGGGCGUCAUAGAGGGUGAGAAUCCCGUCCUUGACAUGGACUACCAGUGCUCUGUGAUACACUUUCAACGAGUCGAGUUGUUUGGGAAUGCAGCUCAAAAUGGGUGGUAAAUUCCAUCUAAAGCUAAAUAUUGGCGAGAGACCGAUAGCGAACAAGUACCGUGAGGGAAAGAUGAAAAGCACUUUGGAAAGAGAGUUAAACAGUAUGUGAAAUUGUUGAAAGGGAAACGAUUGAAGUCAGUCGUGCUCAAUGGACUCAGCCGUUCUGCGGUGUAUUUCCAUUGGGUGGGGUCAACAUCAGUUUUGAUCGCUGGAUAAAGGCAGGAGGAAUGUAGCACCCCCGGGUGAACUUAUAGCCUCUUGUCACAUACAGUGGUUGGGACUGAGGAACGCAGCAUGCCUUUAUGGCCGGGAUUCGUCCACGUACAUGCUUAGGAUGUUGACAUAAUGGCUUUAAACGAC